rnacentral:snRNA from 1 species
AUGCUUGCUUCAGCAGCACGUAUAUUAAAAUUGGAACGAUACAGAGAUUAGCAUGGCCCUGCGCAAGGGUGACAUGCGAAUCUGUGAAGUGUUCACUAUUUAA